rnacentral:misc_RNA from 1 species
GGAAAAUGGUAUUAUAACAAAGCAAACCUACAUCCAUUUAUAUGGUAAACCAUCAACAAAUAAUUUCAUAUUAUCAGGUCUCAUGGAAGAGAAAACUCCUCAAUCCCAGAAAUGUCUAUUCCCACGCUAUCUACAUGUAAUGCUUGUGAAAACAUUCCAAACAACUCAAUUAGCAAUUGUUACGGUCAAAUGAGUAAAAGAGAAUGAA